rnacentral:rRNA from 1 species
AACGAACGCUGGCGGCAUGCCUAACACAUGCAAGUCGAACGAGACCUUCGGGUCUAGUGGCGCACAGGUGCGUAACGCGUGGGAAUCUGCCCUUGGGUUCGGAAUAACAGCGAGAAAUUGCUGCUAAUACCGGAUGAUGACGUAAGUCCAAAGAUUUAUCGCCCAAGGAUGAGCCCGCGUAGGAUUAGCUAGUUGGUGAGGUAAAGGCUCACCAAGGCGACGAUCCUUAGCUGGUCUGAGAGGAUGAUCAGCCACACUGGGACUGAGACACGGCCCAGACUCCUACGGGAGGCAGCAGUGGGGAAUAUUGGACAAUGGGCGAAAGCCUGAUCCAGCAAUGCCGCGUGAGUGAUGAAGGCCUUAGGGUUGUAAAGCUCUUUUUACCCCGGGAUGAUAAUGACAGUACCGGGAGAAUAAGCUCCGGCUAACUCCGUGCCAGCAGCCGCGGUAAU